UGCCCAUACUUUGUCAGUGCUCAGCAAC
rnacentral:piRNA from 1 species